CCUACGGGGAGCUGCAGUGAGGAAUAUUGGUCAAUGGACGAGAGUCUGAACCAGCCAAGUAGCGUGAAGGAUGACUGCCCUAUAGGUUGUAAACUUAUUUUAUAAAGGGAUAAAACGAGGCACGUGUGCCUUUUUGCAUGUACUUUAUGAAUAAGGAUCGGCUAACUCCGUGCCAGCAGCCGCGGUAAUACGGAGAAUCCGAGCGUUAUCCGGAUUUAUUGGGUUUAAAGGGAGCGUAGAUGGGUUGGUAAGUCAGUUGUGAAAGUUUGCGGCUCAACCGUAAAAUUGCAAGUGAUACUGGCAGUCUUGAGUGCAGUUGAGGUAGGCGGAAUUAGUGGUGUAGCGGUGAAAUGCUUAGAGAUCACGAAGAACCCCGAUUGCGAAGGCAGCUUACGAAACUGUGACUGACAUUGAUGCUCGAAAGUGUGGGUAUCAAACAGGAUUAGAUACCCGAGUAGUC
rnacentral:rRNA from 1 species